GGAAUAUUGGUCAAUGGGCGCGAGCCUGAACCAGCCAAGUAGCGUGCAGGAUGACGGCCCUACGGGUUGUAAACUGCUUUUGUACGGGAAUAAAGUGCGGGACGCGUCCCGUUUUGUAUGUACCGUAAGAAUAAGGACCGGCUAAUUCCGUGCCAGCAGCCGCGGUAAUACGGAAGGUCCGGGCGUUAUCCGGAUUUAUUGGGUUUAAAGGGAGCGCAGGCGGCCUUUUAAGCGUGACGUGAAAUGUACGGGCUCAACCGGUGCAGUGCGUCGCGAACUGAAUGGCUUGAGUGGUCUCGAGGGAGGCGGAAUUCGUGGUGUAGCGGUGACAUGCUUAGAUAUCACGAAGAACCCCGAUUGCGAAGGCAGCCUCCCAGUGCCUUACUGACGCUAAAGCUCGAAGGUGCGGGUAUCGAACA
rnacentral:rRNA from 1 species